rfam:Lysinibacillus macroides strain DSM 54 Scaffold1, whole genome shotgun sequence.
UUCACCUUUAAUGGCAGUCCAGAGAGGCUGAGAAGGUUCAUAUAAUAGUGUUGUGGAAAUUUGUGCUGCAAAUUUUUCGACAUGCUUUUUCAACACGUAUAUAACCCUCUCAGGCAAUUCGCCUUGAGAGGUUUUUUUAU